UCAAUAUAAAUUGAUUAUAGGAUUUAUUUAUUAAUUUUUAUUUUGUUUACGCUUAUUUUAUUAAAAGUAAUUAUUUGAUUUAUAAGUUUUAGUAAUUUUUAAUGAAAAAAUAAAAUUUAUUUUAAUUUAUUAGUACUGUAAAGGAAGGUUGAAAUAAUUUGAAAAAUUAUUAUUUUAAUAGAAGAUUUAAUUUAUUGUACCUUGUGUAUCAGGGUGUAUUAAUUAGGAAAUAAUUAUUUAUUAUUCUCGAUUUUAUAAGAGUUAAUGGAUUAUAAAAGUUAAUGUAGUAAAAUUAUUUUUUAUAAUCUGUUGGAAAUGAAAUGUUAUCGUUUAUAAAGGUAUCUAGUUUUUUCAGAAAUAAAUUUAAUUUAUUGAUAUUUAAUUUUUAGGUUAUUUUUAGAGCCUAAAAAUUUAUUUGUUAAAAUAUUUUAAGGGAUUAGCUUUAAAAUAAAUUUUUAAAAAUAUUUUAUUUAUUAAUUAUUAUAUAUGUGUAGAAUUAGCAAUUAUUAAUAAGUUUGUUAUAAAUUAUUUGUUUGAUUUAUAAUAUUUAUUUUAUUUUAAUUAUUUAUGAAAAUUUUUGCAUUAAUUUUGGUGUGAAUUAAUAAUGAUUUAAUUAGUAUAUAAGUGUUGUCUAAUUAAUAGGUAGGAUAAGUUUUUUUAAGGAAUUCGGCAAAUUUAUUUGAUUAUAAAAUGUUCGCCUGUUUAACAAAAACAUGUCCUUUUGAGUUAAUUAUAAGGUCUGACCUGCCCAAUGAUUUAUAUUGAAUGGCCGCAGUAUUUUAACUGUGCAAAGGUAGCAUAAUCAGUAGUUUUUUAAUUGAAAAAUGGAAUGAAUGGUUGGACGAAACAUAAACUGUCUCAUUUAAAUUUAUAUUAGAAUUUUAUUUUUUAGUUAAAAAGCUAAAAUUAUAUUAAAAGACGAGAAGACCCUAUAAAGCUUUAUAUUAAUUUAUAUAAAAUUUUAAUUUUUAUAUAAAUUAAUAUUGUAUUGGGGUGAUAUUAAAAUUUAAUAAACUUUUAAUUUUGUUUAUCAAUAAUUUUUGAAUUAGUGAUCUGUUAUUAACAAUUAAUAGGUUAAGUUACUUUAGGGAUAACAGCGUAAUUUUUUUGGAGAGUUCUUAUCGAUAAAAGAGAUUGCGACCUCGAUGUUGGAUUAAGGAUUAUUUUAGGUGCAGUAGCUUAAAAAUUGAGUCUGUUCGACUUU
rnacentral:rRNA from 1 species